GAGCAUUCGGUGCCCUGUGCCACAGUACCCAUCUGUACGGCAGGAGGCUGGUGCUGGAAUGGGCGGAUUCAGAGGAAACCGUGGAGUCCUUGAGAAGGAAAACAGCAGAACAUUUUCACGAUCCCCCUGUCAAGAAACAGCGGACAGCCAUUUUAGAAGAAAUCUUGGAGAAACUAGAGGAUGAUGAAGAAGGCAAUGGGGAGGAUAGCUAGUAUCCUCACUUGGGAACCCAAAGAGCCAAAUGAUAGACAAGGAGACAAGAAGAAGACAACAGACAUUUUAAAUUCCAAAGUGGAUCUCUUAAUUCAAAACCCACACAGAAGAUGCUUCAGGACACAAAUAGCCAGGAAGAAACCUCCAUGCCUCAAAUUUCUCCUUGUCGCCUGCCAAUCUGGAAAACCAAUUUUGGAUACCACCCCAUAAAGCAAAACUUCAUAACCAUCUAACAGGAAACAGUAUGAGUAUUCCUCCCACUCCUUUUUUUAAAAAAAAGAUAAUGUGUAUGUUUUUUGGGAGGGGGGGGGGAAUGUACAUAAUUUAUCUUUAAAAAAUGUUGUGAAUAGAUCCAUCCGAAUAAUAAUCUAAAAUAAUAACUCCUUCCUUUUCGA